rnacentral:rRNA from 1 species
UACGUAGGGGGCAAGCGUUGUCCGGAUUUAUUGGGCGUAAAGAGCGUGUAGGCGGCCAGGUAGGUCCGUUGUGAAAACUCGAGGCUCAACCUCGAGACGCCGAUGGAAACCAUCUGACUAGAGUCCGGAAGAGGAGAGUGGAAUUCCUGGUGUAGCGGUGAAAUGCGCAGAUAUCAGGAAGAACACCCGUGGCUAAGGCGGCUCUCUAGUACGGUACUGACGCUGAGACGCGAAAGCGUGGGGAGCGAACAGG